rnacentral:rRNA from 1 species
CCUACGGGCGGCAGCAGUGAGGAAUAUUGGUCAAUGGGCGCGAGCCUGAACCAGCCAAGUCGCGUGAAGGAUGACUGCCCUACGGGUUGUAAACUUCUUUUAUCAAGGAAUAAAGUGAGGCACGUGUGCCUUUUUGUAUGUACUUUAUGAAUAAGGAUCGGCUAACUCCGUGCCAGCAGCCGCGGUAAUACGGAGGAUUCGAGCGUUAUCCGGAUUUAUUUGGGUUAAAGGGAGCGUAGAUGGGUUGUUAAGUCAGUUGUGAAAGUUUGCGGCCCAACCGUAAAAUUGCAAUUGAUACUGGCAGUCUUGAGUGCAGUUGAGGUAGGCGGAAUUCGUGGUGUAGCGGUGAAAUGCUUAGAUAUCACGAAGAACUCCGAUUGCGAAGGCAGCUUACUAACCUGCCACUGACAUUGAUGCUCGAAAGUGUGGGUAUCAAACAGGAUUAGAUACCCUUGUAGUC